AGAUUGGUGGAAUCGGAGGGGACUCAAAAUCCGGUUCCGAAAGGAGUGUCGGUUCGAGCCCGACCGCCCGCACCA
rnacentral:tRNA from 1 species